rnacentral:ncRNA from 2 species
UAGCCUGAGGGCGCUGGCGGUUCGCCCUCCAUCCGAGGUGGUGGGCGAGGCAAGAGGGAACCCGGUGGGAAUCCGGGACUGCCCCGCAGCGGUGAGCGGGAACGAACGCCGUGGCCGGUCGCGCGACCGGUGGGAGACGCACUGGGCCGGACACGGUCUGGGAAGCGACGGCUAGUAGGUGAUUCGGCGCGAGCCGGUCGUGUCCGCGAGUCCGAAGACCUGCCGCCGGUGCGCACACCGC